GCCUGGAAUACGGAUCGCAGGACUGGAAGUUUUCCUAGUUAUGCCUGAGACAGAACCUACCUACCUGCCAGCCCACCCUUGGACCCACAUGGUUGCAGUUUCCCAAAGUGGGAUGCUUUCCACUGGAGGUACCCGCCUUGAUGAUGUGUCGGUGCAGACAGAAUGAAACAACCUGCAGCCAGCCCCAGAAAGGGACUGCCUGGCCUCUGCCCGCCUGAUGGUCUUGCAGAAAGUCGCAGCUGAGUGUGUGCACGCCUGACACCUGCUCCCUUCCCUCCUGGCCCACACACAGCCUCCUGCAGGCAGCAGUGUCUAUCAUUAUGUUGAGAUGUAAUGACCUUGUUUUUGUUUUGGAUGUUAUGGUGUUAAUGCUGCCACUUCCUUCAGAUCUCUGCUCACAUGACAUCUCCAAGGUGGCCUUCCCUGACCAACGCAUCUAAAGUAACCCUAAGUCACUUUAUUUUCUUCAUUGUCUGUUACUAUUGGACACUAAUUUAUCCGAAUUGCUUGCCUCUGUCCCUCCUAGUCACCCCUUUAGCCCCGGAAGCUGGAACUGAGCCUGACAGCUAUUUAUUGAAAAAAAAAUCAAUGAGUUUCGUGUUGCUUGUAUUUUUAAGGUUAUCUUCUGCUCAAAAUAAAUGAUAGUGGUUUUUUUCA